GUGGGGAAUAUUGGACAAUGGGCGGAAGCCUGAUCCAGCCAUGCCGCGUGUGUGAAGAAGGCCUUUUGGUUGUAAAGCACUUUAAGCGAGGAGGAGGCUCCUUUAGUUAAUACCUAAAGAGAGUGGACGUUACUCGCAGAAUAAGCACCGGCUAACUCUGUGCCAGCAGCCGCGGUAAUACAGAGGGUGCGAGCGUUAAUCGGAUUUACUGGGCGUAAAGCGUGCGUAGGCGGCUUUUUAAGUCGGAUGUGAAAUCCCUGAGCUUAACUUAGGAAUUGCAUUCGAUACUGGAAAGCUAGAGUAUGGGAGAGGAUGGUAGAAUUCCAGGUGUAGCGGUGAAAUGCGUAGAGAUCUGGAGGAAUACCGAUGGCGAAGGCAGCCAUCUGGCCUAAUACUGACGCUGAGGUACGAAAGCAUGGGGAGCAAACAGGAUUAGAUACCCCGGUAGUCC
rnacentral:rRNA from 1 species